rnacentral:rRNA from 1 species
AACGAACGCUGGCGGCAGGCCUAACACAUGCAAGUCGAGCGAGACCUUCGGGUCUAGCGGCGGACGGGGGAGUAACGCGUGGGAACGUGCCCUUUUCUACGGAAUAGCCUCGGGAAACUGAGCGUAAUACCGUAUACGCCCUUUGGGGGAAAGAUUUAUCGGCGAAGGAUCGGCCCGCGUUGGAUUAGGUAGUUGGUGGGGUAAUGGCCUACCAAGCCUACGAUCCAUAGCUGGUUUGAGAGGAUGAUCAGCCACACUGGGACUGAGACACGGCCCAGACUCCUACGGGAGGCAGCAGUGGGGAAUCUUAGACAAUGGGGGCAACCCUGAUCCAGCCAUGCCGCGUGAGUGAUGAAGGCCUUAGGGUUGUAAAGCUCUUUCAGCUGGGAAGAUAAUGACGGUACCAGCAGAAGAAGCCCCGGCUAACUCCGUG